rnacentral:rRNA from 1 species
CAGUCGAACGAACUCUGGUAUUGAUUGGUGCUUGCAUCAUGAUUUACAUUUCAGUUAGUGGCGAACUGGUGAGUAACACGUGGGAAACCUGCCCAUAAGCGGGGGAUAACACCUGGAAACAGAUGCUAAUACCGCAUAACAACUUGGACCGCAUGGUCCGAGCUUGAAAGAUGGCUUCGGCUAUCACUUUUGGAUGGUCCCGCGGCGUAUUAGCUAGAUGGUGGGGUAACGGCUCACCAUGGCAAUGAUACGUAGCCGACCUGAGAGGGUAAUCGGCCACAUUGGGACUGAGACACGGCCCAAACUCCUACGGGAGGCAGCAGUAGGGAAUCUUCCACAAUGGACGAAAGUCUGAUGGAGCAACGCCGCGUGAGUGAAGAAGGGUUUCGGCUCGUAAAACUCUGUUGUUAAAGGAGAACAUAUCUGAGAGUAACUGUUCAGGUAUUGACGGUAUUUAACCAGAAAGCCACGGCUAACUACGUGCCAGCAGCCGCGGUAAUACGUAGGUGGCAAGCGUUGUCCGGAUUUAUUGGGCGUAAAGCGAGCGCAGGCGGUUUUUUAAGUCUGAUGUGAAAGCCUUCGGCUCAACCGAAGAAGUGCAUCGGAAACUGGGAAACUUGAGUGCAGAAGAGGACAGUGGAACUCCAUGUGUAGCGGUGAAAUGCGUAGAUAUAUGGAAGAACACCAGUGGCGAAGGCGGCUGUCUGGUCUGUAACUGACGCUGAGGCUCGAAAGUAUGGGUAGCAAACAGGAUUAGAUACCCUGGUAGUCCAUACCGUAAACGAUGAAUGCUAAGUGUUGGA